GCUUAGCUAUUAGGGAUUUUUUUUUCCAAAUAUAUAAAAGAAAGUCUACAUUACUUGCUUUCGCUUUUCUAGGGCGAUUCCCCACUUGUUUCCUUUAAUUUAUAUACAUAAUAUGUGAAUCGUCCAGGUCCUACAAUGGCAUAUUUACUUCUCAAACCUGGCUGUUGCCAAUUUUUAGAUGGACAAAUAAUAUCACAAUCUCAGGACAAAUUUAUUACUUAACGGAUUUAUUCCUUGUUUUCUUAUAUACUAAUAGAUUGAGGUGGGC
rnacentral:lncRNA from 1 species